GAUGAAGAACGUAGCGAAAUGCGAUACUUGGUGUGAAUUGCAGAAUCCCGUGAACCAUCGAGUCUUUGAACGCAAGUUGCGCCCGAAGCCAUUAGGCCGAGGGCACGCCUGCCUGGGCGUCACACGUCGUUGCCCCCCCAUCUACUCCUUCGGGAUUGCGGGGGGCGGAUGAUGGCCUCUCGUGCGCCUCGUCGCGCGGUUGGCCUAAAUGCCAAGUCCUCGGCGACGCACGCCACGACAAUCGGUGGUUGCGAAACCUCGGUUGCCUGUCGUGUGCGGUCGUCGCGCAUCGAGGGCUCGAAAAAAUUGCCGGGCUUCGGCUCGACUUUCAACGCGACCCCAGGUCAGGCGGGGUUACCCGCUGAAUUUAAGCAUAUCAAUAGAGGA
rnacentral:misc_RNA from 1 species